CCAGAGUGUAAAUGGGUGGAGGGAACCGCAGCAGCGCUAAAGGCCUGUGACUGUGUGCGGCUGUCUGAGGUGCAUUCAGACGGAAGCGCCCUCAGAUUACUUGGACGUGCUGUGGUUUCAAAAGAUGUCAUUGGAAUCAGAAGACAGUGACAAAGACUCAGAUAUAAACGGACUGUCUAGCUCCAGGCCCAGUUGUCAUGGCUACCAUUAUGCUGUCUGAUGCUGAAGUACAUUUUGUGUGGGAAAUUUGUUCUGUUACCCGGUAUUCAAACCCAGUCGGUGCUCGCUCUCUCUCUCUCUCUCUCUCUCUCUCUCUCUCUCUCUGUGUGUGUGUGUUCUUUCCAUUUGUACAGUCAGUGUUCUUGCUUCUGUAUGGCCAUUAAAUGACGUACAUUUUGUCAUACAGAUGUUUUAGAAAUAAAUAGCUGUAGAUAUUGUAGAUUUGCCACCCUUGCCCUGCAAUACAUCAGUUAGUUGGAUACGUGAGAGGGAUUUUAUUUAUUUAUUUGUUUAUUUAAUCGUAUAAGUCAUUUAAUCGUUUAGUUGCGUCAAGAAGAACUGAAGAGGUGGAUGGACAGUGGAGGUACAGUCUGUAGAGCCGGUUGCCAUGGAUACACUUAUCUAGCUGUUGGUUGGGGGUAUUUCUGGAUGGAGUAGAGCCUUUAG